rnacentral:lncRNA from 1 species
CUGUCGAAGUAAUGUAUAAUCCAAUGAUGGAGAAGAAGGAAGAAGAAACUCUAAAAUCGAGAAUGAGAAGGUUGAAGAUGAGGGCGAAGAAGACGAAGGUCCAAGCCAAAGAAAAGGAAAAGCGAGGAAGACGAAGGUCCGGGCCAAAGAAAAGAAAAAGCGAAGAAGAAGAAGCGUGGCAAAGAAGGAAAACAAAAAGCCGUCGCGUCGAAUCGAUUUCUGAGGCUGGCUGUGAUGAUGAUGAAGAAACAGCGGUAAUUAAUACGACCUAAUUAAUGCCGCAGCUAAGACAAAAGGUGUAAUGUACCAGAUUUUAAUACAAAAUUAAGUGUAAAUAAAAAUAGUGUAAGGCACUAUUUUAAUUAGAAUUAAAGAAGUAAAGUAUAAGUCGAAAAUGACUUAUACUGAAAUCGGAGUAAAAACAGGAGAUUUAGAAUUUUCUGUGAGAAACGGGACUGAUAUUUUAGCAAAAAAAUUUACAGUGUCAGAAAAUUAUGAAAAUCUGAAAAUAUGUCAGGAUUAUUUUUAUGAGGCUAGAUUUAAAGUUUCAUGUCAUUCUGACAUCCGAAAAGUGAAAAAUAAAAUCCGACUGCUAUCUGCUAGAGAUUUUAGUUUGGUAGAGCUUUCGGUGACAAAAAAUAGUCAAAACUGAAAACUUAAGAUAUUUUCUUUCUUAUUAAGGAAAACCGAGCCUGACUGUCAAAUUUGAGAGAAAACGAACAUUUAGAAGGGCUCCGGCAAAAGGUAUCAGAUUCUGAGCUG